GACGAACGCUGGCGGCGUGCCUAAUACAUGCAAGUCGAACGCAGUGGGGACGGGUGAGUAACACGUGGGUAACCUCCCAUCAGAGGGGAUAACACUUGGAAUCAGGUGCUACACAGAUACUGAUGGAUGGAACAGGGGGUCAUUAGCUAGUUGGUGAGGUAACGGCGCACCAAGGCCACGAUGCAUAGCCGAGUUGUGAGUGUGAUCGGCCACACUGGGACUGAGACACGGCCCAGACUCCUACGGGAGGCAGCAGUGGGGAAUCUGCGGCAAUGGACGAAAGUCUGACCGAGCAAUGCCGCGUGAGUGAAGAAGGUUUUCGGGUCGUAAAGCUCUGUUGUUAGAGAAGCGGUAUCUAACCAGAAAGCCCCGGCUAACUACGUGCCAGCCGCCGCGGUAAUAC
rnacentral:rRNA from 1 species